GGGCAUGUAGUGUAGGGGUUAUCGCGUCCGCUUCGCAUAUUUCAAUGCUUUGCGGAAGGUCUCCGGUUCAAUUCCGGACUUGUCCA